rnacentral:rRNA from 1 species
GUUGAUCCUGCCAGUAGUCAUAUGCUUGUUUCAAAGAUUAAGCCAUGCAAGUCUAAGUAUUAACUAAUCAUACGUGAAACUGMGAAUAGCUCAUUAUAACAGUUAUUAUCUAAACGAUGAUCAAUACUAAAUGGAUAUCCAUGGUAAUUCUGGAGCUAAUACAUAWNHAACCCCUUAUGGGGUGCGUUCAUUAGUUCGUGAAGUCAACCUGGGACAACCCAGUAUUGGAUGAUCAGAGUGAAUCGGCGGAUCUCGUUUCGAGACAGUUCAGWUCGAGUUUCUGACCUAUCAGCUUUUGUCGGUAGAGUAUUGGCCUACCGAGGCAGUAACGGGUAACAGGGGAAUUAGGGUUCGAUUCCGGAGAGGGAGCCUGAGAAACGGCUACMACAUCUAAGGGUGGCAGCAGGCGCGCAAAUUACUACAAUCCAGAUACGGGGAGGUAGUGACAAGAAAUAGCGGCGCGGGGCAUAUGCUCCACGACUGCAAUGAGUAGAGUGCA